AGCUCCUGUACUUUGCAUACAAUUGUCCAGCUUAGUAGUGGCUUAUACAUACAUUUUGAAUUAAACGGAAAAAAUUACAUGUACUAUGCAUUGACAUUUUUUAUUUCAAUUUAUUUUUACAAUACAUCAUUAUCACAUGUAUAUUAUAUCAUUAUGUGCCAUUUAAUUGAAUACAACUUUCAAAUAGUUAUUUACAACAUAUUCUUUUGCAAAUGAGAGGUCGAAUGUAUGGCAAUGAGACAGCCGCUCAAGGAUACAGACAUCAAAACCUCCUAGUGAUUCAUUGAAUGAAAAAUGACAGAAUUUCAAAAGGGUCUUAUCCGGAAAAAGUUAUCUACUUGUGUGUUAAAGCAAAUAUUUCAAAACUUCGUAUAUCUUAACAAGAUCAUAACAGAAACUCUCUUUCAAAAUUUUAUGUUAAUAUCUCUAUUCGUUACAAAAUUAUGGAUUUUGGAAACUACAUUAACACUUUUUGGAGAAAUAUGACUUUGUAUUUGGCAUACACCAUUCAUCUAUUGAUAUUAAGUUAUUUAUAACAGUAGGUAUUUUCAUAUUUGUGUGACCUUUGAUAAAAUGCAAUCAUAUGGAAAGUGGCACAGUUGCGAACAGAUAUUUAUUGUGGAGUUCAAAUAGCAGAACUUAAUGAGAUUAUGACAUUAAAGGCAAAUACAUUUAUUAAUCAUGUCCAUAUUCGUUAAGUCACAAAAUGAAAUAUCUGUACUUCACUAAAAUGACUUAUAGCAGAAAUUUGCAUUUAAUAAUUCAAGUUAAGAUACCAUUACUAACACACUAUAUUAUAAUUUACAAAUUUGUUCGCAUUUUGUCUAUUUUCAUAAGUUUUCUUCCGUGCAUAUGCAUAUUUUACACUGAAACGUAUACAAUUCAAGGUAGCAAAUGUUAUCGUACAAUCGUUGCACUAAUGUUUUUUUGUGAGUGGAAAAAUAACGCAAAUAUAAGUCGUCGUGAUUAUGAGUAUUCCCUAAUAUAAAUAUAUCAAGAAAACUUGAAAAUCGCGAGAAAAAAAAAUCGUUGCGAUGUCGAAAUAAAGUAUUCGCGAAAAUAGGUUGGUUGACAGUAGUUUGUCCCAAUUUUUUAUAGACGUUCUCUUGAUUCGUCUUUUGUAAUUUCUUAAAGUUCUCUUGAUUUGGAAAUUGUAAUUUGCCAUAGGAACUCACUCAAUGCAUUAUUGGCUGCAUUCUAUGUUAA